AACGCAAGCCGACCUGUCGCACUGACAUUUGCUGUUAGUGAGGAAAGUCCGGGCAGCAUAGAGCAGCGUACUUCCGAAAUGGAAGCGUGCUGACGGUUUUCGUCAGUAUAGAGAUAGUGCCACAGAAAACAAACUACCUGCCAUUGGUGGGAAAAGGUGAAAAGGUGAGGUAAGAGCUCACCGGUCUCGAUGUGAAUCGGAACGCAUGGUAAACCUUACGCGCUGAAAGACCAAAUAGGUUCUGCAAUUGAGGGUCGCUCGCCCGAGCAGAAUUGGGUAGGUCGUUUGAUCUUGCUGGUGACAGCAAGGCUAGAUAAAUGACGGGAUAGAACAGAACCCGGCUUACUGGCUUGCUUUUUGU
rnacentral:RNase_P_RNA from 1 species